GAUUUUUUAGUUUAACAAAAACAUUAAAUUGCAAGUUUAAAGAAACCACUCACGGUAAAAAUCU
rnacentral:tRNA from 1 species